GGCGUGCUCUUCCGGUGGGGACAUAGAGACCAUGAUGUGGUUCAAGCAGCUGGAUUGAAGCAUGGAGCCUCUCUCAACCCAGAUCCCUCUGUCUCUCCCGUGGCUCAGACAAAACUCCAGAGCACACACUUGAAUCGCCUUCCUACCCCAGACAAGCUAGGAACGUCCAUCAACAUUCUAUCUGGCAUCUGCCAGUGCCUGAAAAACACGAGGAAUCCAAUGCCCUUCUCUGUCUUCUCAAUUGACUCCUCUGUGUAGUUUUCAGAGAUCUUCCUCAUCACUGGAGGCACUGAGCAAAAGCUGUAACGACCACAGCAUACGAGACUCAUGGGAAGGGAAGGCCUAUUUCAUGAUUGCUGUAUGAUCUGAUGCCACGGAUUCAAGCAUCCUUCCUCACUGGGACAGCUAUCCUAGGACACUUACUUACUAUCCUAGAUCACUAAACGGUAAGAGUUCUAACCAACUAGAAAAAGGAAUGAAAGAUACGUCAGUAUCUUGCUGAAGACUGGUGUUCAGGCAACAUGGUAUCUCAGAUAUGACAGGAACAGGAAAGGAUUUAAAGCCAGCCACCAUUCACCUAAGAAAGAAAGAGGAGUUCCAGGUUCAAUACCGGCAGAGUGGCCCUCUCAACCCAAACUUCCUACAGGAAGACUUCACAGAAAAUGGAUGUAAUAAACUAAAAAAAAAAUCCAUGUAAAGAUACUGGACAAUGACUCCAAAUAGAUGAAAACACAAGGGACU
rnacentral:lncRNA from 1 species